rnacentral:rRNA from 1 species
UACGAAGGGGGCUAGCGUUGCUCGGAAUCACUGGGCGUAAAGCGCACGUAGGCGGAUUGUUAAGUCAGGGGUGAAAUCCUGGAGCUCAACUCCAGAACUGCCUUUGAUACUGGCGAUCUCGAGUCCGGGAGAGGUGAGUGGAACUGCGAGUGUAGAGGUGAAAUUCGUAGAUAUUCGCAAGAACACCAGUGGCGAAGGCGGCUCACUGGUCCAUUACUGACGCUGAGGUGCGAAAGCGUGGGGAGCAAACAGG